rnacentral:lncRNA from 1 species
GAAAUUAGCCGACCCGACCAUAGUACGCAUCGAGUUGGCCAAAUCCCGAUCCGGGAGCCGAUCCCUACCCGACUUCCAUCCACGCUCUCCACCGCCUCCCUCUCCCCGCCCAUCCUCGCUUUCUCUUCCCAUCUUCCUCGCCACCGCCACUAUUACCGCCACCCCCUGUCCCAUCUCCAUCCUCUCCUCCGCCUCCCUCUCCGCCACCCCCUCCUCCCUUCCCGCCCACCUCUCCGUCCGGAUGGACGAUGGAGGUGGAGGCAUGGCCGCAUUUGGAGGAGCCUUUUUCAUCUCGCAGCAACUGCUGUGGCUAUGCC